GAAAAUUGAAUAGAUGGACCAACGAACAGACUGAAAUAUGAAUGAAAUCACUUCAUUUUCCCUUAGAAGUCAAACUAUGAAGCAUUUUAUAGUCUGUAAACUAAGCUGGCAGAGAGACUUGUGGUCCUGAAGAACGAUGUUGGCCCAGUUGAGCGGGGCUUAGUGUAAUGGCUCCGUUCUCCACUAGAUGGCGCUGCUUAGCUUACUGGGGUGGAUGGUUGUGGCGCUUGUAGGUGUGUUUGCGCAUGUGCGGGAGCCGCGAGAAUGGCGUCACCCAGCAACCCUCUCUACUAUUGGAACGCUCUUCUCCCGGAUCAGCCAUGGCACACCCAUCGUUUGUCUUUGGCUUCCAUCCGCCUCCCGCUUUUACACAGUCUGUGACCAAGCUCCAGGCAGCACCUCCCACCUGAGUUUUAUCUCAGAUGCGGCUGUGUUUCCCGACCUCUUACUUCUGAGGGACCGCGGCUCUGACCUGCUCCGCCUUCUGCGGGAGGGUCUCAGCGAGCAGUGGCCGGGUGCGGGCCGCGUUCAGGAACGUUCACAGACGUGCUGCUGCCGAUGCGGAGACUGCGGCCCCGGGGCCAGCGCGUCCCAGAGAAAGUUCGCACCAUCUUGUGGCAGGAGCGUUUCAGGGACUAUGGCAAAUCACAACACACAUGUGGCACCAGGCUUCACCCCCAAUGACCCUGUUCUAGCACCAGUGAAUGUGGUUGUUCUUCCGGGUCCGCCGGGGUCUUGCCUUUGGGGGACCCCACAGCCUCUACCAGAUGUCCUCCCAGCAGGGGAACCAACUCUCCCGUGUGGCCCAAAGAACCCCGGACUCCGCUCUGCUCCUGGGGACUCGUCCUUCUCACCAGAGCACCUCCAGACAGUUUGGGGAGUCAGAAGCAUAUCGACGGUAGCUGAACUUCUGCACACGAAAGACUUGCCCCGGAAAAGCGUGCAAUGAGAGUCAAACACAGGACCAAGGAGGGAAUGUCAUGCAAAUUAGAGACUGUCCCAAGCUAGUGACGUCUUCACCCAGAGACCCAAAGUCUGCAAAAACACUCCUCUGUGAGGCUGUCCUGUUCACAGCUCCAGGGAAAAGUUCAUCAUGGCCUCCUCACUCACCGUUCCUGAAUUGCUGUUUCACUGGACUGGUGUAACACAUUUUGACUACACACAGAGGACAGGAACGAGAUCAUCCCAUAUACACCACAGCGGCACAGCCCAGUGCAAAUUGGAGCCUCGUGUGUAGCCCGGAGCAUCAUAUAAGCUAUUCUGUCAUCUCCCUUGAGAGCCAUAUCAGCCCAGGGUAUCAUGUCAUAGACCUUUCAUCAAGGCAUGAGUGAGACAGGAAAGGGCAGGGGAGGAAUAAAGACUUCACAGUAGGUGCUCCUGUCACUGAGCGUUCAUAGCUAUGUCAUUGGUUGUCUGUCCACGUGGUGUCUUAUGACUCAAGAGUCAUCAUCUGAGAGCCCUUCACUGGGACAAAGAUGGGCUGUUUCCACAGCCCACUCCAAUCUUGGAGAGCUAUCGUGCUCCCCUCUAUGUAUGGAUGUACUUAUUUUAUUGAAGUAUAACUAACAUAGUAUAUUAUAUUAGUGUCAGGCGUGCAACAUAUUGAUUCACCAAUUCUUAAACAUUACUCAGUGCUCACCAUAAUAAAGUAAUAGUGCCCUGAGUGAUUAUAACUUCAGUCUUCUUAAAAAGAGAAUUGGCUAAGAGGAUGUGGCCUCAUUACCAGCAUGGAAUAUAAACAUGUACACAUAUACUUACACAGGAUCCUGUAUGAAGCACACAUGGGAAAAAAAUCCUAUUCCUCCUUUUCUUCAAAAUACUGACUUCAUUAGUAAAAUGGAGAUGUUUACUCAGUUGCAAGAAAAAAUAAUCUGUUCAGCUGAAAAAUGGGAAAGAAUUUACUAAGUUUGAAAAACUAAAAAUAAUUCCUGGCUGGUCUUAUUCCUGUCCUCUGUAUUUAGAGGAAUUUACUCCUGAUACUAUUAUUACAGGAAAUUCCAAAAGCAUGAACGUUUUCUGGUAUUUUCAGAAAAACAAGUGUUUAUGUUUUGUUUAAUUUAGACAUGGAGGAAAACAGGUUUGCUUUGUGUGCACUGACGUGUCCAGUAGAUGCCGUGACAAUGUGAUUUUGUGUAAAAUGUAGAUAAUGAAAGCAUUUAAAAAUUCAUAGGAGAGGAAUAGAGUAUCACUCUUACAUAAAAUGUCUUUCAAACUCUGUUGAAGUCCAUUAUAAACAAUGGUUCUUAACACGAACACUGUCAACAUUAUUGUUUUAGGGAAGGGAUGCUGAUAUCUCUCUCCAGUAUCAGCUUUUAGGUUAUUAUGAAAACGAUCAGUGGUUAAUAAUUAUGAACAGAUCUGAUUACUGUGAGAUGUCCAGUUAUUGCUGGCAGCUGAGUAGUCGAGGGAUUGAAGAGUGAUAAAAUAUUCAGAUUUAAAAAAAAAAAAAAACAACAGAAGACCAGUGUUUGGGUAAUAGCAUCUCUCUUGUGCUGGUCUCAGUUCCUCUUUAUCUUAUCUAUUAAUUUCGGAGCAUGGAAACACCAUCCUUGGGUAUGUCAACAUUGUACAUGUGUAGGACAAAGAUAAAGAUAUUGAAAACGUUGACCUCCAGUUUAAAAUGUCCUCAGACCACAGCUCUGAAUUUCCAAGUUCACUGUGCCCUUCCAAGGUCCUAUAAAAAUCCCGUCUUGAUUUAUAGCUAGCAUUUGUUUUUUCUUUUGGCACUGUGAGUGGGUUUCAGGAAAGGAGAGCUAUGCAGUGAAGAAAACUGCAUGCCCAUGAGUUUUUAGUUCAGUUCUCAUGAGUUUUAUGCAACCACCACUACGGAUCAUGUCAAUAACUCAUUGAACAAAGCUGAAAGAAGCUGUGUUCAUGAAUAAGCCUGUGACAUUUGCCUGAAUAUGUUCCUUCACUGUUUUAGCAGUCAGCUGAACAUGUGCUUUCAUUAGAGUUUCUGAUGCCACAGGUAACUGUAUAAAAAUCUCAUCUAACAGCUUUGACUUCAAUGCAUAUUGGAGUUGUCCAAUGUACUGGCCAAUUGUACUGGCAGGCCACAUGAAUUUUUUUUUGCAUCCAACAAAAUCAUUGUUGAGAAAUUUGGUAUUACUUUGCUAAAAUGGGUAUCUACUGAAUCUCCCCAAUCCAAUUCUUUCCUCUAAUAUGGUAAUCUGUUAUCUGUAUUUAAUUAUCUGGAAGGUGAAAGUUGCUGGGCUGCCCAAUGGAAAAUUUUAAGCCCUUUCACUCUCGGUCUGUUGUCUUUUCAGAUCAAUCUUUCUGCUAAUGACAACCAAUACUUUCAUAUGUGAUUACAGUCCUGCUCCAUCUUUUCAUGAGCCGAGACUCUUUGGAAUCAUAUGUAUUGAUCUUUUUAAUAGAAGUCAGGAAAAAUAAAAUUACUCUGGCUUCUUGCGGCAAAACGAUGAUAAAUGAGAACUUAGAAACUUAUGGGAGAAAUUUUUUCUGCCUUGGAUUAUUUUAAUCACUAAAAAUGAUUGUCUUUUUAAUAAUAUUUGCUUUCCAUUAUGCACAUUUGCAGCAAAGCCAAAAAUUGUUUCUGUAUUGCUUUAUGAAACCACAUCGAGGCCGGGGACUGUCGGUAUUACCGUACCUGCUGGUGACUCAGGUACGGUGGCCCCUAAUAGGAGACAGGGAGCUAAGACUCUCUGCAGCAGUCUCAAGCUGAGCUUCCGUAGAGCACUUCUGAUGAAAGAGAAUUUACCGAAGUAGGCAUUUUUAAAGAGAACUUUUGUUUAAAACUCAUUGUUAAUACUAUUGUUUUAGAAGCAAGCUUGUAUUUCUUUUAUCACUCCUCCUCCUUGAUUUCUCCUUGGCUAAGACUGAUUAUUUCCCAAGUGGGUUUGCUGUUUUGUUUAAGAGACAAGUAUAUGUAAUUCCUUGCCUGUGGUUUUCCUUGCUUUCUCUGCGUGUCCAGUAGCUGCUGGUGGUGCCAUUGGUGAUAACUGGGAAUCGAACAUGUGGGGGUCACUGCUCUAUCACCUUUUCUCUGAAACCCAAAACUAUAGGACUCACUUCGGCUCUCAUUUUAGAAUCUGAGCUUUUAUGUUUUGUAUUUGAACCAAGUUCCCAGUUCCCGGCUGAAGACAGAAUUGUUUCCUUGGCUUCAGGGGAACAUGAGGCCGACGCAGAUGAUCAAAGAGAGUCAGUGCCACUACACAUAAGAGAUCAGAUCUCUGGUGGUAUGAAGAUAUGGAUAAGGUUCAAAAUUUUGACGAUGUCAGGCCAAAGUACAGCCUUGUUUUGCUUUGUUUGGCCCUUGGAGACCUAUCUGUAAGAAGGGAAACUUGUCCCAUUGGGACACCACAGAAAUAGCCCCUGUGGCUCCAUGGCAUUAUUUCACCAUGAUGCAGUGAUGGAUCCCACCCCACCACCCUCAAUUCCUAUCCCCCUCCUACAUAAACAUGACAAAAAGAAAGAUCACAUCCAGAUACAAGUUUUGCUCAAUGAGCUUGUCAUUUAACUUGGUUUAAUCCAGUUACGUGAAGACUUGUCCGGAGUGUACCAUGCAUGUAGGACAGGACAAGGGAGGCAGUUUUCCAGAUUGAGUGUGUAGGAUUGAUGGUCAUUCAAGGAAGAUAGCCAGAAAACCUCGUUACAUGCCUGAGGAGGGUUUCUCGGCCUCGGGUGCCUGGUGACCCUGAGGAUAGAUAAAGUCUGAUCUGGGGGUACAUUUAGGCUGAGAACUGAAGAAUAGAAGUAAGCCAGAUGGAAAUUGGAGACCAUGGGUAGGGAAAGAAAAUUCCAGCCUGAGGGAACUGCCAUGUGAAGGUGGGAAUUUGAGGGCCAUGGUCUUUGUGAGGAAUGGGUACUAUCCCAGCAUGACUACAAUACAGAAAGUGCCCAGAGAUUUGCGUAAUUGCUUCCUCAUGUCGCCUGGGAGUACAGGUGAUUUCUGAGUCUGAAUUUACUCACACAUGAAGGUAAUGAUGAUUCUAAGGCAGAUUUUGGGCUUUACCUGCCGAAUGAGCUGUGUGUGUGGUGUUGCCUUUGUCUAGACUGCUCAACUUUGGCCCUUUGCUAUCUUUGACCAAAAGGCAGUGUUUGUAAAAUUGUUUGGAUAUUUCUAAAAUGUUGGCCUUAAUUUAUAAAAAUGAAUGGAAAAUAUUAGAACUCAAAUGCUGAUAUCUGUGAUAAGAAAUGUAGGCUUUAAAAAUUCGUAAAAUUGGAAGAAAAUGGAAAGUUUUGUGGUAAAUUAACCUGAGGCAUGCAUUACUUUUAAGCCUGUUAACUGUACAUUCACAUGUGAAACUUUAAGCCUGUCAAUGCUGUAUUCAGAUGUGAAAAGUGAAACAUUAAGAGGCAUGCUUGAAAUACUAGAAAUAAACUGAUGAAGAGUACAAUUAUGUCUGAAGAUGAGGUAUAACUAAGGACUUUUUAAUGUGUUUCUCUGGGAAUCCCCUCAUCAUGAGGAAUACAUUAUUUAAGUUGUAUUCUACUUGUUUUCUGCAAUCCCAAAUACACACACACAUACACACACACACACACAGAGAUGUAGAGGACUGUCUUAUUUUUUUUUUCCUUGGGAGUUUUAAGGAUGGUUAGAAAUCACAGAUUCAAAAUUUAGUAGCUUAUAUGAUCUCAGUUCUUAGUUCUGUGCAUUAGAUGAAACAGUGGAAUAAUGUGAAAUUAAAAGCAACCAAAAAAAAUCUGUUUGUACCUACUUCGCUGAGUACUUCUGUAGAUACCAUUAACUCUUCAAAUUUCCAAAAUCUAGAUCUUGCUAUUAGAAAGUGAUGAAAGCUCUUGGAAAUGGUUGAUAACAAUUUGUGUAAAUGGAAAUAGCAAAAUAGGACUAACUACAGAGGCAAAAAGGAGAAAGAACAGUGGAAAAUUUAUUUCUCCUGAAUUAGAAAUUCUGAAGUUUUAUUGAGGUGAAUUCUGUGAGCAAAUUUUGUUACCUGGUUAUAUAUUCCUAGAGGAAUAUUGUGCUUUGGUUGCAUGCUUGACUGACCAUGGGAGGUUUAAAUACCUUUAAAUACAAGGGUGCCCACUGAUGUCCACCUUACAUCAUGCCUUCUUGAUGUUGUUUCAGUUCUAGCCCACCUCUGAAUUGAUACUCUCUAGGCUUUGGUGGUUGCAUUAGGAAGAUUCCAGAAUCUUGGAUAACUUAAUAGUCUUUUUGCAGGCUGAAGAAUCAGCAUGUAGAAUAUAGACUCUAGGUUAUCAAACUUUUAAGUUCAUAAUUAACAAACUAAAAUAUGCAAAAGGAAAAGUACCUUUUCUCUUUGCCAUCUAAUACACAUUAGAGAAUCUUCCACUUCCCCACCCCCUAAUAUGGUCUGCUGGUAAUUUAUUUCCAGUUUGGCAUUCUCUUCUCUUUAUCUAUUGAAAACAUUGAGGGCUCUAUUGUCAUUUUGAUUGCAAUUCCAUCAAUACCCAGUGUACCUUAAAAUGGCCUUUAAUUUUUUAUGACUCAAGCCUGCAGAAAAACACUGUGGAUCAUUUUUCUAGGCUGGUUUUAUCUACCACCUCUUACUUGAUACUCUGCUUCACACCCACCUGUCAGUCUUUUGAUAUCCCAGUGGGGUGGAGAGUUUAAGAUAUUGAUCACAGUUCUGUGGGUGAUUACUCUAAGCUCUUUCUCGGGAAGACUCUGAAAGCUGGUAUAUGCCCAUCCAUCCAUCCAUCCAGAUAGCUCUCUAGAGUCUGUAGGUGAGACAUUCCCAUCAGCAUAAGCAUGUGACGUGGUCAUUGCAUGGCCUGCUUGUGAGAAUGUGUUGGCCCUUGACUAUGCACCCUUCUUUGCAUUUCUCUAGUGUUUGCUGUUUGGAUGUUAUACAUACUUUAAUUGUUAACCUUAUUCCUUCUCUCAGGUCCAUAGCUGUUCCUGUUUGGUAAACUACAUAAUCCCUCUCGCAAUACUUGUUAAUUAUCUGGGGAUAUAAGUUUAAGAAAAGUCUACUGAUCAUGGGACACCUGGGUGGCUCAGUAGGUUGAGUGUCUGACUCUUGAUUUCAGCUCACGUUGUGGUCCCAGCAUCAUAGGAUUGGGCCCUGGGUCGGUCUCUGUGCUAAUUAUGUGUCCUGCUUGAGAUUCUCUCUUUCUGUUCCUUCUGUCGCCAUCCCCUCUUGUACUCUCUCUAAAUUAAAAAAAAAAAAAAAAGUCUGUUGAUGAAGACAUUGUUAAGUGGAAUGUCUUAGGCUCCAGCCCAUUGUUGAGUCACUCAGAUGUGAACAGAUGAGCAGCAAGCACCUCAGGUUCUAAGAAGUCUGUCAGUCUGGAUUUCUGAAGUCAGAGUUCAGUUUAUCUACAACAACCAAACUAAAAAUACUCCAUAUUGAGAUAUAAGGGACCUGAUAACUUUCUGAAUCAUCCAUAGGGGCAAUCUAAGCAGUAUCUCUGUUAAGCUUUUAAGAAUUCAAAAUGCAUAUUUAUGAUUUUAAAAACAUUUUUUAAAUGUUUAUUUUUGAGAGAGAGACAGAGAGUGUGAGCUGGG